UUUUUAUAUACCUGCACUUUUUCUUUCAAAAUUCCAAAUUCAAAAAUAAUGUUAAAACUCAACUUUAAAAAAUUUUUGGCUAAAAAGUGCUGCUAUUGUCAAACACUUAGAAAUGGUUGCACUCUCAUUGGGGUUUUUCAUCUUGUACUUUCUAUCUGUAUCAUAUUGGAACAAAAUCACAUACAUUGGCCAGAAUUGCUCUAUGCAAUUAUGUGUAUAUCAGAAUCGCUCAUGAUUUGCGCCUCAGUCAUAUUACUCGUCUCUACAGUGAUGCAUAACCCAUUUUUCAUACUAAUUUUCGUUGGCGUCACUGCGCUGAGACUUUUGUUUUUAAUUACUUAUAAUAUCGUUUGUUUCACAGUCGAAAAGUAUAACUGUAAUUAUGGUAUUUCCAGUUUUAAUAUCUAUCUUUAUUGGCUGAUAUUCACAAUUUCCUCUUGUCUUUCUAUAUACUUCAUAUACAUUGCACUUUCUUACUAUGUGGAAAAAAAAGAACAAAAUAGGAUUAGUUCCAGGUAUUAACACAAGUGUAUUCUUGAGUAAGACAUUUGUAUGGAACUCUCAGAAAAUUGUAUUUAAUAAAUAAACAGAGUUGUGUUUU